rnacentral:rRNA from 1 species
GAGUGUCGGGUUAAGUCCCGAUAACGAGCGCAACCCCUUAUCGUUAGUUGCCAUCAUUCAGUUGGGCACUCUAGCGAGACUGCCGGUAAUAAACCGGAGGAAGUGGGAUGACGUCAAAUCAUCAUGCCCCUUAUGACCUGGGCUACACACGUGCUACAAUGGUUGGUACAACGAGUUGCGAGUCGGUGACGGCGAGCUAAUCUCUUAAAGCCAAUCUCAGUUCGGAUUGUAGGCUGCAACUCGCCUACAUGAAGUCGGAAUCGCUAGUAAUCGCGGAUCAGCACGCCGCGGUGAAUACGUUCCCGGGCCUU